GACGGACGUACUUUCGUGAGCUCUGACUAUUGAUGAAAAGUUUUGAGUUUUACUGACUUGUACUUUGAGAGUAAAAUUGACUUCGCGUUAUAGAAUAGCGACUUGGUACUCAGGUUGUUGAAUGACUGGAUGACUGAAGUGUUAGGUUAUUGUUAUGAGAUAACAACUUGACUUUGACUUGAGUUGUGAAAUGAAACCAUACUCUUAUGCGAUGUUAACUUUUGAACGUUUAGUAUUGACUGACAACGAAAUUUUGUGAGCGUUAUAUAUGAAAUGUUUGACUUACAUUAAUUUUUUUGAACGACUUGACUUCACUUUAAGUUUUGACAUCGGACUGAUCGGACGUGUUUUUUUAAGCUCUGACUGUUGUGAAUAAUUAAAUUUAUGUUGUGGUGUCAAGCGAUUGACUGUCAGUUGAGGUUCAGAUGUCGAGCUGUGCGGACGUGUUCAUCGAGCUGCUGUCUACAAAAAACUUCGUUUCAGAUUUGACAUGAGAUGAAAACCUGACAUGAUUUGAACAGAGCUGGGAAACGAAAAGAUUUUCAGAUGUGUGCUGGCAGUUUAAGUCUGGCAGCUGGAGUGAACAGUCGUGUUUUCUGGAGCUCCAACAAUAUGCUAGAAGGUAAGUAACUAUGUUUGUUUUGCAUUGCAUGUUUUUAUAUGUUUCAGACUUUCAAGCAGAGAUGUCAUGCUGACUGGAGUUGAGCACAGGGCAGUGACAAAGUGAAAGGUAAGUACUUUUGACUGAAUGUUUGUUCUAUGCAUGUUUUGUUUUAAUACAUUUCAGGAGUGCUUAUCCAGUGAUGAUAUGACAGUUGGAGUGAACAGUGGAGCCAAGCAGUCUUGUUUUUGGAGCUACUCAACAAGCCUUGAAGGUAAGUUUAGAAUUUCUCAAUGUUAGUGAAUUGAAGUACUGUCACUUGCUUUUGGACAGUCGAACAGAACAGACGUGGUUGCGAGAGCUCUCAUAUCUGUUGUGUUAAACUGUUUUUAUGAUAUGUUAUGUUUGUUUGUUUGUUUGUUGGUGUUGUACUAUUUUUCAGAUGCUGUUGUCAGUGAUGGGUUUUCAAGCUGACCUGAACAGAAAAGCAAUCAUAUGGUAAGUACAAAUAGUUGUUAUAUGGGAUGUUUUGUGCAUGCUUUUAUGUUUCAGGUGUACUUGCAGUUAGAGACGAAGACGAUUCAAGAAGAGGACCAUAGGUCAGAAAGUGGAUGGAACAUA